ACGUAAUAGAUACCCGGGUAGUCCCAGCCGUAAACGAUGGAUACUAGGUGUCGGGGUAUCGACCCCCGGUGCCACAGCUAAACGCAUUAAAGUAAUCCCGCCUGGGGAGGUACGGCCGCAAGGUUGAAGCUCAAAGGAAAUUGACGGGGGCCCGGCACAAGCGGUGGAGCAUGUUGUUUAAUACGUCACUAACCGUAGAACCUUACCAGGGCUUGACAUCUGACGACAACCUAUGAAAGUAGGCCUUCCUCGCAAGAGGACGUCAAGACAGGUGUUGCAUGGCUGUCGUCAGCUCGUGUCGUGAGAUGUUGGGUUAAGUCCCGCAACGAGCGCAACCCUCACCCAUGUUGCCAUCGGGUCAUGCCGGGAACUCUUGGGGAACUGCCUGGGUAACCGGGAGGAAGGUGGGGAUGACGUCAAGUCAGCAUGGCCCUUACGCCCUGGGCUACAAACAUGCUACAAUGGACGGUAGACAAAGGGAUCCGAGACCGCGAGGUGGAGGCAAUCUCAAAAAUCCGUUCCCAGUUCAGAUCGCAGGCUGCAACUCGCCUGC
rnacentral:rRNA from 1 species